rnacentral:lncRNA from 1 species
AGAGAAAAAAGAAAACAAACAUAUUCUUCACUGCACUAGUGACCAAAACUUCAUUACAUCAUCAGAGAUUGAGAGAGAUGCUCGAUGAGUGGAAGCCCUGUCGGCUAAAGGAGGCUAGAGAAAAUAGAGGCCACAUGAUCAUAUUGAUGCUGCAACAAAUCCAAUUUGAGGUGGCAAUCAUAUAAGGUUACUCAUUUUUGUUAGAAUAUUCUUUUCUCUUUCAUUUAAAAAGAAAUUCACUCUUAGGUUUAUUUGUCACUUUGUGUUAGUCUUUAUAAGAACUCAAUACUAUUUACAUUUAAAAUUUAAUUUAAUAUAUGAUUCAGUUUUUAUAAUUUUUAUUAUAUAAAUUUUUUAAAAUUUUAUUUAAAUUGAUUAUUAUAUUUUUCUAUAUUAGUUGAAGGACUAAAUUGGUGAUUUAAUAUCAUAAUUUAAUUUUUAAAUUUAUUAUUAAGUACCAAACUCGUUUAAAAUUAUUUUAUUAUUAAAUUAGAGUAAAAUUUUAUUUUUGACAUACUAAUCUCAAUUCUAAUUAAAAUAAUAAAUUUAAUAUUCUUUUAAAUUGAGAAAUAUUACUUUAUUUAUUUUAAAUUUGCUCUGAAAGCUUAUAGCAUGUGCGUCGAGCCUAUUAUUCCUUGUUGAUAGAAAGCCCAAACCCAAAAUCCUAGGAAAGAAAGACUGACCACGAACCGUUUACGAGAGUAAUAAGGUUGGAAGGAUGAAUUGUAUAUUAAUGCAUGUGCUAACCCCUUUUUCUUUUAUCUUUAUGCAUAUCAUGUGCAUCUUACAUCUCAUGCAACUCAUGCAUCACUGAUACGAACCUGAACUCGAAGGAUAUGCUUAAACCCUUAUUGAUGAUGGAAGUAAACCAAACAGACAAGAUCACGCCCCUUUAGAACUUACCCUUACCUAUAAGUCAGAUUUAAUGCUCCAAAGAUCAACUCAUAGUUUGCAAUUAAACGGAAUUCUUACCCUUAGCUAUAGAUGAACUAAGAUCAACAAUAAUAAUAAGAUGAAUUGUUUAGCAACCUUGAAACCAAUAAGCUAAAAGAUUGUAUAAACAAGUAGAUGUGAAAUCAAACUAAUCNNNNNNNNNNNNNNNNNUAUGUUCUUGGCCGAAAUAUAUAGGACUCUAUUUAUAGAGUUUAAAACAAAAUAGUCCUAAUCCUAGAAUGACUAGGAUAUGCGGCUAAGGCUCCUUAAUAAACAAGGAAACAAAUAAUUCCUUAAAGAAAGGAGAAAAGAUAUGGCCAAGAUUCCUAAAUCAACAAGGAAACAAAUAACUCUUAAAAUUCAUCCAACCUAACCCCAUAUGAUAAAAAUGACAUUUGGGUUUAAGUAACAUGUGAGAAGCGGUUUAUUCUUAAGUAUUGGACUCCAAAUAGCUUGACUUGAUUAUCUUGGACUUAUCUUGUCUUGAUCAUGCCUCCAUAUAUUGAAUUAAGUUGAUAAGAGUAUCUUGAGGCCCAUUGUUUUUAUUAAGCCUAAUCUCACUUGGACUUUGAAUCUCAGUAGGACUCCUAAUUAGAUUAGAAUUCUUAGUAAAAAUAGGAUUCCUUUUGUUGCUUGAACUCCUAAUAUCAUCAGGACGCCUUGCUGGAUUAGGAUCUUUAGUGGAAUUAUGAUUCUUUGUUGAAGUAGGAUUCCUUGUGCUACAUGGGUUCUCAUCAUUCCCCUUCUUUAAAAAGAUUCGUCCUCUAAUCUUGCUCGAAUAUUGUAAAAGAAGCAAACAUAUAAUCUCAAAUCUUUCACAAAAAGCUUUUAGAGGAACUUUAGAACAAAUAAUACUUUUAAUGCCAAUAAAAUCAACAUGUUCAAUUGGCUCAAUGGCAUCAAGCAAAAUAUUUUCAUCCUUCACCAGCUCAACUUUUGCUUCAUCUUCAAUAAUAAUCUCUUCAUCUUGGAUUUCGCUCAAAAGUUGCAAAUUAUUAUCUAUUUCAACAUCUUCAUUCAUUAUGCCUUUAGUAUCUUCAUUGACUUUAGUAGAGUAAUUUACCUUUUCUAUAUCAUAAGUUACUCUUACUUUAGUAGAGUAAGUUUCCAAAGAUGGCUUAGACCUCGACUUUAUCUUCAAGAUGCUUAGCAUAAUGAUGAACCAAUCCCUUUAAAUCUUCAAAAAGUAUUUUUAAAGCUGCUCCUUAAAGAUUUUAUAUCCUUUGAAAGUUCAUCAGUGAAAUCUUGAUGCGAUUGUCUUUCUAUCCUUUUUGGCUUAGGUUUAGGAUUAUAAAAAUUUUGCAAACACUUUUCAUAAUAAUCAUUAUUCUUUCAUCCCCACAAUCUAUUAUAAGAUUGAUAAAAAAGAUCUCGACGUCCUCUAGCAAACUCCUCUUGACAAAACAUCUCUUACACACAAUAUCACUUGUUUAACACUCAAAGUAAUGAUAUUUACCCUCAUGUUUCACUUAAUUAGUCUUUUACCCUCUAAUGAGCUCACCACUUGCCUUUUACCACUCAAUCUCUACUCUUUGGCAAUUAUAGAGGCUAAAAUAAUCAAAUACCAAACAACCAAAGUUGUAACGACUCAAUAACCAAUGAAUCAGAUUUAGAAUACACAAGAACACAAACUAAAUAAAUGAAACUAGACUUGAUGACCAAGAUUAAGUCUGAACAUAAUAAAACACACAAGAAUAAGAUGAAUUAUGGAGAACUAAUUUUAAUGAACAAAUUAAACGAAAAGGAAAAAUUUGAUUUACAUAUAAUAAAGAAUGUAUUUAACACCUAAGAAACAAAAGGAAUGAAUGAAUUAGACUCUAAGAAUAACAAAGAAGACGAAUUGAACAAAAAAUACUCUAGACAAGAAAAUGAAUCACAAAGAAGAAGAAAUUCAUGAAUUGAUAAUUUUUUUUAACACUAAAGGAAACAAAUGAACAAAAAUAAUAAAAGAUACGUAAUUGAUUGAUGAGCCAAAGCUCUGAUACCAAAUGAUAUGAAUUUGAACUCGAAGGAUACGUUCAAACCCUUAUUGAUGAUGGAAGUAAACCAAACAGACAAGAUCACGCCCUUUUAUAACGCACCCUUACCUAUAAGUCAGAUUUAACGCCUUAAAGAUCAACUCGUAGUUUGCAAUUAAACGGAAUUGUUACUCUUAACUAUAGAUGAACUAAGAUCAACAAUUAUAAUAAGAUGAAUUGUUUAGCAACCUUGAAACCAAUAAGCUAAAAGAUUGUAUAAACAAGUAGAUGUGAAAUCAAACUAAUCAAAUCAAUUUAAAUUCAAGCAAUUCAAAAGGAACACCUUUAGAAUUAAAGUGCAAUGCACUAGGUUUUUGCAAAGCAAAAGAAAAAUUCAUUCAGUACAUCAUGUAUAUGUUCUUGGCCGAAAUACAUAGGACUCUAUUUAUAGAGUUUAAAACAAAAUAGUACAUCAACAUACUCAAACCAAGUGUCCAUGAUCAACUCUGACUUUAGCGAAGAGGAGGUCAUGAACUCUUUUGAAGACAUACCCCAACCCAAGCUAGAACCACACACAAAGAACCUUCACUGAGCUGGGAGCAUCACUAUCUGUGGUGUUCUUUCAUCUAAAAUGGAGUGGAAAACUCAAGUCCCAACUGCCAAAGGAUAGUCUUAGGCCUUACAAUGGUCAGUAUUGUGAGUAUCACUAGGCUUUUGGGUAUGUGAUAAACCAAUGCAACCGUCUCAGGCACAAGAUUUAAGACUUGAUUUACUAUAGGGAAUGACAAGUUGAGCAACUUCCUCAGUAUGACUGUGAAGACCUGCUAGGGCAGCCUUUAGGUAAAUAUGAUUUCAAGGUCUGAUAUUCGAGGCCUCCUUCGACCGACAUUCGAAUUGAGGAUAUUAUGCCAAAUGGUUGGGGGUCAGACGAUGAUCAAAAAGCUUGUGAGCCUUAUCUUCUAGAGGUUUGGAAAGAAAGGAAAAAAAUUUGGUCAUGGCUAUCAACAUCUGGUAUAGCUCUGGGGAUGAAUGUGAAGUCCAAGACACCGAGGCCAAGGACAUCUGGGUAGACAUCGACUUUGAUAAAAGAACUAAGCUAGUGGGUAAGGGUAAGAAAGCUGGAGUACAAGAACUAAACCAAGAUGAGCAAGCUUCUAAAGACGGGGAUACGAGAUUAUUAGAGUAGUUGAAGAAAGAAAAGAAGAUAGCCAACAUUUGGGAGUUACUGUUGUAUUCAUUGGAUCACAGAAGGGCUCUAAUCCAGGCCUUGUUUGGUAUAAGUAUUAGCACAACAUCUACCCCUAAGGAAGUGAUCAAAAAAAUAACUGACAAGACUACUAGGAUGAUCACUUUCUCAGAUGAAGACCUACCACUUGAAGGAAGAGAUUACAACAAGGCUCUCUACAUAGUAGUAAAGGUCGAAGGGAAGAGAACUCCAUGCGUGAUGGUGGAUGAUGGCUCAGCCAUCGAUGUGUUUCCUUCUUUUAUACUCCCCUAAGCUAGGGAUGACUGCGAAAGACUUGAAAUCAUCAAAUAUGGUUAUAAGGGCCUAUGAUGAGACGAUGAGAGAUGUGGAAGGAAUGUUUUCAACACUUGCAAAGAUGGGUCCUAUCAAAUCCUAAAUGGAGUUCACUAUCCUAGACAUCCUAGUAACUUUUGUACUGUUAUUGGGAAGGCCAUGGUUCCAUGCCCUAGGAGGAGUUCCUUCCACUAUGCAUCAGAAGAUGAAGUUCCCUCAUGAAGACGAGAUAAUCACUAUCAACGCGGAAGGUGGUAAGAUUGUCUCGGCCAUCCAAGAAGCUAUCAAGGAGUUGUAAGCCCCCAUUGAAUUCCAAGUUGUUGUUCUCUAUGAGGACUAUAUGUAUCCUAAAUUAGCCAGUAUGUUCAAGAAGAUGAACUUUAUGCUUGUAAUGGGGCUAGGAAAGAAUUAGCAAGGUAUCACCGAGCUGUCAAACUUCAAUGGUUAGAAGACUUGGCAGAGAUUGGGUUAUUCCGAAGAGGAAGACGAGGAAAAACUAAAAGGUAAUAUUAAGGCAUGCCAAGUCUAGAUAAGAAAGUAGCAGAGCACCAUAGUUGCUUGGUCUAGAUAGGAAAGUAAUAGAGUACCAUAUAACUCCUAAGGAAAGGAGAGAAUUUAAAAGAAUAAUAGAAAAAAGAGAAAUGGUAUUUGCUCGGUCAUAUGAGAACAUGCCAGGUCUAGAUAGGAAAUUAGCAGAGCACCAUAUUCCGACUCAUUCACACAUCAAGCCUAUCAAACAAAAGAUAAGAAGAUUAAGGCCGGAAUAAGCAAAGAAAAUACGAGAAGAGGUCGCUAAGUAGGUUAAGGCCAAUUUUUAUGAUGUGGUUGACUACCCUGAAUGGUUGGUGAAUAUUGUCCCAGUCUCAAAAAGGGAUGGUAAGGUCCAGAUGUGCAUGGAUUACUAGGACUUGAACAAGGCAUGCCCUAAGGAUGACUUUCCUCUUCCUCACAUAAAUGUAAUAGUCCACAAUGCCGCCUCAAAUACAAUGUACUCCUUUACGGAUGGGUUCUCUGAAUACAAUUAGAUUAUGAUGGCAAUAGUGGACAAGCUGAAGACAUCAUUUAUCACCGAAUAGGGAACAUACUGCUACACGAUUAUACCUUUUGGACUAAAGAACGCGGGAGCAACUUAUCAAAGAGUAGCCAUUACCUUAUCUCAUGACAUGAUGUACAAGGAGGUGGAGGUGUAUAUAGAUGACAUGAUGGUAAAGUCUGAAAUAAGAGAGCACUUCUAGGUUCUUCAAAAGUUUUUAGGACAAGUGGAAAGGUAUGACCUAAGACUCAACCUGAAGAAGAGUUUAUUCGGAGUUACAUUAGGGAAGCUAUUAGGGCACAUAGUGAGUCAGUGAAAUAUAGAGAUCGAUACAUACAAGGUCAAAACUAUUCAAAAGAUGUCAAUGCCGAAGACAGAGAAAGAAGUUGGAGGUUUUCUAGGACGCUUGUAAUAAAUCAACAAAUUCAUUUCCAAGCUCAUAAUGUUUGUGAUCCUAUUUUCAAGCUUUUGAGAAAACAUCAACCCGUUGUGUGGGAUGAACAUUAUCAGAAGGCCUUCAAUAAAAUCAAAAAGUAUUUGAUGAAGCCGCCGGUACUAAAGUUGUAGAAGGAUGGCAAGCCACUAAUUAUACACUUAGCCUUGGAGGAGGAAGUUAUAGGGGAAAUUGUACCGCAGUGCGGAUCCAUUGACAUGGAGCAUGCAGUCUAUUAUCUCAAUAAAAAGUUAUUGCCUUAUGAGUCAAAGUACGGUCUUGUAAAGAAGAUAUGUUUGGCUAUGAUAUGGGCAACAAGGAAGCCGAGACACUAUUUCCAAUCUUUAUACGGUGUAGGUAGUCUCAAAAAUAAACUCGUUGAAGUCUAUUUGAAGCUUCGUCUCUUAUAGGAAAAUUGGCUAGGUGGUUAGUGCUCCUAAUAAAGUUCGACAUCGAGUACAUUACUAAGAAGGUAGUCAAGGGUAGGGUUGUAGUGGAAUUUUUAGCUCAGAAUAUGAUCAAAGGUGAUGACCCUUGGGAUUUGGAGUUUCCUGAUAAAACCUGGGGGCAAUUGAGAUCUAUAAAUGAAAGAUAUACUUCGAUGGAGCUAUAAAUGUAAAAAGUACAGGAUUAUGAGUAGUUCUGAUCACGCUAGAAGGAGAGAUGCUGCCAACGGCUAAGAGAUUGGACUUUAAAGUGACCAAUAACAUGGCAGAGUAUGAAGCAUGUUUAUUUGGAUUAGAAGUGGCUUUGGUAGUAGGUGCAAAGUAGUUGAUGGUCUACGGGAACUUGAUGCUGGUAAUCCAACAAGCCAUCAAGGAAUGGGAAGUAAAAGAGGAGAGGUUGAAGCCAUCAAUCAACUAUCUCAAGACUUUAAUAUGUAAUUUCUCUAAGUGUUCAUUUGUACACUUGCCUUGAUAUGAGAAUUAGAUGGUAGAUGUGUUGGCUACCUUAUUGUCUACGUGGGUCAACCCCUUGCAGCUUUCGAUGAUGCCUUUAAUGAUUAUGAAAUCAAGUGCAUUUUUUUAUCAAGGGGAUCAGGUAAUGCAAGUUCAGAUUGUUUUGAAAGAGAAGCCUUGGUUUUAUGAUCUAAAAAGGUUUGUAGAAAAUAGGGAAUAUAUCCAAAGGAAGUGAUUAUUAGGGAAAGAUACGUUCUGCGGAUUCAAGUCAGGAAUCACAUAAGCAAUGAGGGAGUCUUAUAUAAAAGGAUGGUUUCGGGUGUACAGUUAUGAUGUGUGACUGAAAUAGAAGCUCAAGUAGUGAUGGAAGAAAUGCACAAAGGAGUAUGCGGGCUCAUAUGAACGACAUAGUGUUUACUAGGAAGAUCAUGUGUCAAGAAUAUUAUUGGUUAACAAUGCAAAAGGAUUGCAUAACAUUAACGAGGAACUGCCAUGAGUGAUAGUUGUACAUUGACCCGAGUCAAAUACCUCCUACCGAGUUGCACAACUUAACAUCUCCUGGCCCUUUGCAGCUUAGGGGAUCGACAUCGUCGGAGAAAUAAAGCCUCCCUUGAACAGUCAUAGGUUCAUAGUCGUAGAGAUUAACUACUUCUCUAAGUGGGUUAAAGUCGAGUCAUUCACUAUUGUAGGGGCAAGGCAGUUGGCCAGAUUAUAGAAAGAAAUAUGAUCUACAGAUACGGAGUCCCACAUCAUGUCGUAAUGGAUAAUAGGGUGCAGUUCAUGGGUGAGAUAGCAGAUCUGCUAGUAGAAUAAAAGAUCGAGCAUCAUAGGGAAUGGAGCAGUAAAAGCAGCCAACAAGAACUUGAAGAAAAUACUCUCGAAGAUGGUGUGGGAACACAAGGGUUAGUCAUUUCGGUUACCCUUUACACUUUGAUGAUAUCGGACAAUGGAACGAAUGUCAACUGGGCAAACAACAUGCUCUUUGGUUUACGGGACUGAAGCAGGUUUUACUGGUUGAGUUAGAGUUGAAGUACUUGAGAGUUGUAUUAGAGGUUAAAAUACCAAAGUAGUGAUGGAAGAAAUGCACAAAGGAGUAUGCGGGCUCAUAUGAACGACAUAGUGUUUACUAGGAAGAUCAUGUGUCAAGAAUAUUAUUGGUUAACAAUGCAAAAGGAUUGCAUAGCAUUAAUGAGGAACUGCCAUGAGUGAUAGUUGUACAUUGACCUGAGUCAAAUACCUCCUACCGAGUUGCACAACUUAACAUCUCCUAGCCCUUUGCAGCUUAGGGGAUCGACAUCGUCGGAGAAAUAAAGCCUCCCUUGAAUAGUCAUAGGUUCAUAGUCGUAGAGAUUAACUACUUCUCUAAGUGGGUUAAAUUCGAGUCAUUCACUAUUGUAGGGGCAAGGCAGAUGGCCAGAUUAUAGAAAGAAAUAUGAUCUGCAGAUACGGAGUCCCACAUCAUGUCGUAAUGGAUAAUAGGGUGCAAUUCAUGGGUGAGAUAGCAUAUCUGCUAGUAGAAUAAAAGAUCAAGCAUCAUAGGGAAUGAAGCAGUAAAAGCAGCCAACAAGAACUGAAGAAAAUACUCUCGAANNNNNNNNNNNNNNNNNNNNNNNNNNNNNNNNNNNNNNNNNNNNNNNNNNNNNNNNNNNNNNNNNNNNNNNNNNNNNNNNNNNNNNNNNNNNNNNNNNNNNNNNNNNNNNNNNNNNNNNNNNNNNNNNNNNNNNNNNNNNNNNNNNNNNNNNNNNNNNNNNNNNNNNNNNNNNNNNNNNNNNNNNNNCCAAAGUAACAAUGGGUCAAGUAGAGAUACCAACAGUUGGCUCUAGUCGUUGAGAAAAGGAUGAAAACCUAUACCAUAUGCAGUUGUAUCAGAAAAUGAUAGCUAGGGCAUUUAAUAAGAAAGUGGAGCUAGGAAAGAUCAAAGCUAGUGAUAUAGUAUUAAAGCACACAAGACCUACUGGAUUCAACCAAAGAGCAAAGUUCAUACCUAAUUGGGAAGGCCCGUACUUAGUAAAGAAGAUCCUACUUAAGGGUGUUGCUAGAUCUCAUACUUGGAGGGGAAUGAAUUCACUAAACCAAUCAACUUGGAUCAUCUCAAGAAAUGCUAUCUAUAAAAAUAAGUAAUAAAUAAAAAAAAUAGCCUGCUGAUCAGAAAAACUAAAAGGGCUGGUUAGGCAAAAAUCAAAGCAAUAAGAGAGAAAAUAAUCAGCUAGAAAAUCUAAAAAGACUUGUUGAUGGUAGGAGUUAUAUAAUGAGAAAUAAAAUAUGUACUCAUCUGGGCUUUUACUAAAUGAAUAAAUUAUUUAGAAUUAUUAUUGAACAUAUAUAUAUUUGUUUACCAUUCUACGCACUAACUAAAAGAAAAAUAAAGCUAAAAGUCUUAAGCAAAAUAAAUGAGAUCUAAAAAAAAGAAGCAUGUUUCCUAUAUUCUGCUUCUCUUCGCAUCUGCAUCCCUAGAUGGAGCAGCUAGUUCUUGAGUCCUCUUGAACCGUGCAAAACCAGCAGAAGUAGAAAUUUGAAGUGAACCCAAGCGUUGAAGUUUUCAUCAGUGGCCAGAUUGCUUUUGGAGUCGGGGUUUCGCUCUAUGUCUCGGUAGGGCCAAAGUCUCUCGAUCUUAUCCAGGAAAUCCUGUCUAAGUGGGAAGCCUUCGAAUUCAUGAAAGAAUUCUAAGAUCUGUUACUUCUGCCUAUACUAGCAGUAAAGUCUCAAAGAUGUGUAAAAGGUAGAUGCCCAUAGUCUAAGUAAGGGUACACAAUCACCAUACACUAUGAGUGUGACAUGCUUGAUUCUCCACCAAUGGCCACUCCAAUAGAUGAGUGUGUCUGAAAUAUCCUUAUCCAAGAAAUUUAGCCAUCGUGACCCUAUGGGAUAAUAACAUAUUGAGUUUGCACGUGCUUCAGCUUAUACCUAUCGAUAUUCCUCGAGAUGGUCAAUAUCUGAAGCUUCUCGUGCAGCCAAAAUUGCAAAAUGAGAUAGAAAAAUAAUAAAUAUAGAAAAAUAGAAAGAAAGAAGAAAAAUAAGCUAAGUUGAAAACCCGAAAGGGCGGCUUAGGAAAAAAUAAAGUAUGCUAAGGUGAAGACCUAAAAGGGCGAUUUAGGAAAAAGUUAAGACAAAAGCUUACUAAGUUGAAAAUCCAAAAGGGCGGUUUAGGCAAAAAAAAUAAAAAUAAAAUAAAAAGUAAAAGAAAAGAGAUUUAACCACAUAUUUGUAAGAGAACGAGGCUGCAACCAAACAGUUGAUGGGUUUUAUACAUGUCUAACCCAAUGAUGGUUUUAGCCAAGAUGACUAGAAUUAGAUCUGCUCCAUGCUCCACCUAAUCAAUAAUGCCAGCAAUUCUAAUAUCUUCGCCCUCCCUGAGAAAAAAUCAGUAGAAAUUAGGGAUAAAGGAAAAGCCCAGCAUUCAUAUCCAAGAAAGUGUGCCCUUUUCCUUCUUCGCAUAGCAGAAGAUUAGAGAAGUAAGGGUAAUGCACUCACCAACAUAUUAAAAAAGCACCUCAGCUGGGGGCAAGUCGAAUAACUCCACUAGUUUGCUAGGAAAGGCUCAUCAAGUUUUGGUAGGGCAAUAGGACGAGUAGAAUCUAUAGGGCUUCUAAGAAUGGUGGAGAAUUCUUCAAUUGCGAGGCACAACUCUUGCCCAUUAAACUUAAAGACAUGGUCUUUUAAACACUAAAAGUUGAAGGCAGAAUGGAGAAACCCAUAAUCAAGCUUGAUGUAUUACAUGGAUUUGAAGGAUGAAAGAUGAAAUUUCCUAAGUUUGAUCCAAUCAUCACCAAUUAGGGCUUUGAUAAGGGUUUGUAGGCUUUCAACACUUUUUUGGAACAUGUUUAUUAGCUUUUGGAAAAAGAAUCGCAUAUGGAAAGUGUGAGGGAUGCACAUGUAUUUAUAGCCUUAAAUCAGUGUUUAUUCAGAUUUUGCAACUAUAGAGUUGAAUCAGUUUAGCACACAACUUGUAACACCCCCAUUACAUGUUAACCAAUAGACAUUAGCCAGAAAACAUACAAGCGUCGUAGAAUAUAUACUACAUGUAGAUAGGUCAAUAUUUAGAUUGUUAAGAAUCAAGACACAAGGUUAUUAACAUAUAAACAUAUGAUUAUACUUAAACAUCAUUUAACAAGUGUUCAAAACAUCUUCUUAUGCCUUACAAGGCACACUUCUAUAUACAUCACAUAACUGCAUACAAAAUGCAUCAGGAGGAGACUCCACAAAACUGGCCUAACCUGACAGAACUGCUAAAAGCUAGACUUCGGAUACAACCAAUGGAUGCACCACUAUUUACAAACCUGAAAAGAAAAAUUUUGGAGAGGGGUGAGCCUCCAGCUCAGUAAAUAAAUAAUCAAUAUAAUCUAUAUCACAUACACUUAAUACAAUUUCCACCCAAUCACAUAACUUACCAUGAUUCAUAGUUUAGGUAUAAAUUCAUACCAUUCUACUCAAUUCAGUACAACCAUCAUAGAAGAAAUACAAUUCAACAAUUAUGGUUAGUUCUCAUGGCUUGUGGAUCCCCUUUAAUGUGCUGCUCCACCUCAUCCUCACCUAUCGCACACGUAAGCUGCUCCGCCUCAUCCUCACAUAAUACACUUUUAUAGCCUCUCUAGGCUUUAGCCUCGCAAGGCUUUAUAUAUAGAUAUAUUUUUUUUUUCACAGGGGAAUCCACCAUUCACAUGCACAUAUGCACUUAACAUCACAAUUCAAUCAUUUCACUUAUAUCAUAUUCAAGCAAUAACAAUUGUUCCACUGAACACCAAUCAUUUCCAUCUCAUUCAUUCAAACACAACACAAUAUUAAGCAAACACAACCAUUCGUAGAACAUUUGAUUAAAUAUAUGGAUAUAGCAAAUAUUAACUAUUUACUUACUCAAAAUACACUUAUUCCUUCAGCAUAUAAGAACCUCCUUUCUCCACAACUUCCUUUCCAGGCCUUUGAGUACCUGUUAACACAUUCAUCAAUUCACAUUUCAUGUAUAUUCCAAAUAUUCAUGUAAAUGCUAGUUCUAAUGCAUUACAAGAUCAUCCCCUUUGUAAUUCAUAGGUCUAACUCUUCCUCUAAGACUCUCAAUUACUAUUUUAAUAUCAUAUAAAUAUUUUCCAUCUAGUUAUAUACCAAUUUAACUCAAAUUAACUGCAUAAACCUAAUCUCCAACAUCUCUAUUUUCUAGACAGAAUUUAGUACCAAAGUAUAUUUAUUGCUGGGAAAAAUUGGCUCAAUACAAAAAUCUCUUAUUAAAUAGACAUAUACGUUUAUGCGUCUAGUUUCAUCUCCAAGAAGAAUUACUCAAUUCUGAAUUCUAUAUAUUUAAUUAUUCUCAAAUUACUGAGCAAGGGUCAUACAGCUAGUUGUACCCGAGCAGCAAUCUGUUUUCUCAAGUUAAGCAACCAAAACGGAAAAAAUAGCAAAAUUACAAAACUACAAAGUUAUAGAGGACUCUUCAAAAUUUCCAUAGACACCAAUUAAGCUUAAUUUGGACUUAUAUAACAAAUGUUAUGCCUAAAAUACAGAACAUCAAGGUUGCUGAAAUGUUGACAGUUUUCUAUCUUGACAUACUUAAACUUAAAUCAAGCUUAAUCUCUAUGCAAUCAUUCAAUACUCUACUAAUUCAUGAUAAUCAGACUUUUAAUUAAUCAAUGAAAGCAUCAAUUAAGGUUUUUCCAAUUUGUAAUCAAGAACCCUAAUGACAAAUUAAUAAUACUCAAGUAACAACUCACCAAUUUCAGCUUUUGGGUUGCUAAUAUGCUUAAUUCCUUUAGCUUUAGCUUGGCUCCUUCAAUAGUUGGUAAAAUCCUAUCUUAAUCUUAAGUUUUUCUAGGUAUUCCACUCCUCUCUCUUGUUCCAAAUUUUGAGUUUUUUGCCAUGUACGAAUUUUAGAGAAAUGAAGAGGUAAAAUGAGCUUGCUCAUGGUUCCAAUUUCCAAGAUUCAUCUCUCAAUGCCACCACCUACUUAACUAGUUUUAUCAUCCUAAAUUAAUUCUUACUAACCAUAUAUAGGUACUAACUUUUAAUUGUAUCUUUUAAGUCCAAUCUAUUUACCCAACCUUCAGCUAUUGGUUCAAUUAAGUCUUAAGGCUUAAUACACAUAACCCAAAUACUUAAUCAACUUAUCUAAAUUAAUAAUCUAAUAUCAUGCUUCUUAUUCUCUACUUAUAAUUAAUAUAUAUCUGUUCCCAUAAAAUAAAAAUAUUAUUAAUAUACCAUCAUAUGCCCAAUGAUUAAAUGUAAAUGCACAUAACAUGUAUGAUGAGAAAAUGCANNNNNNNNNNNNNNNNNNNNNNNNNNNNNNNNNNNNNNNNNNNNNNNNNNNNNNNNNNNNNNNNNNNNNNNNNNNNNNNNNNNNNNNNNNNNNNNNNNNNNNNNNNNNNNNNNNNNNNNNNNNNNNNNNNNNNNNNNNNNNNNNNNNNNNNNNNNNNNNNNNNNNNNNNNNNNNNNNNNNNNNNNNNNNNNNNNNNNNNNNNNNNNNNNNNNNNNNNNNNNNNNNNNNNNNNNNNNNNNNNNNNNNNNNNNNNNNNUUUCAGCAUUUUUUACCCUAGUCAUAUCUACACCCAAAAUAGACAACAUCAAGGAGAAAUAAUGAUAAUGCAUGUGCCAGAAACGUGAAAUUUUAUAUAUAAAAAAUCGAGUUUUACAAGUAAUGACAAGAAAGGAAAGUACAAGCAGUAACAAAAGAAUCAAAACCCGCCAAGUCAGUUUUCAUCCCCUAAUUCUACAAGGUAAAUAGCUAAAACACCAAAGUGUCGAUCCGAUGUUGUUGAGCGUCAAUCUGAGGCUACCGAUCGUCCACCUACCCUUGCAAGCUCUCAUGAUCCCUCUGAUGAAAGCCCGAAAGGGAAUUAGUUAGUGCAUUUUAUACAUACAUGCAUACAUUUUAUAUUGCAUAAAUCAUUUUCUUACUUUCCAAUCCUCACAGAGGAUGAAGAACUAACUCUUUGCGGCGCCGGCCAAUCGAUGAACGCAGUCGAAUUAAUCUCUUUCAACCUAUUAUGGUUAUUUGCAUUAUAUGUCACUAACUUUUUAGGAAAGGAGAUGUGAAAACAUAAAGGAGAAUGUUACUUAGGUGCAUUCAAGUGCUCGGAGUGAACUCUAGAGGAAGAUAAUGCUCCAUGUCGAGCUAGUGCUCCAUCACACCAUGAGGACUCUAGUAUGAGACUAUAAAAUUUAGGAGGAAUGUGACAUUCCCUAGAACCACAUCGGACAUAGCUGUAGGAGGUGCCUCAGAAGCAAUACUAGUAGAGGAGCCUGAAAUAUGGGAGGGCCUAGAACGUCUGGCAGAUUGCCCCUUAGUCGGCUUAGGAGCAGCGAGGGUAUAGUGAAUGAAUUGCAAACAAAAUGGUUAGAAAAGUGGAAUAUAAAAGAUGAAGAAUUUGAAGUAGACUAGGAAAAGUACUUGAGUUGUGAUAUCAUCGCCGAAAGGCACAAUUCCUAGCAACUAAGGAAUAAAGGGAGUGUAAUCCAUUCUCCGAGGCCGGAUGGUGAGAUCCUCAGGCUUGUCGUACCCCGUUAAACAUUCCGAUAGUUCCUCCCCAACAAGAUCUACUGUCUAGAAAGUAAAGAGCAGUGGAGGCAAGGGCACUCAGCUUCUACUAAGGCCUCGCUCCCACCCGUAGGUCCUCUAGCUUAGAUACCAUGCCCAACAAGCAGGUCCGACCAAUAGAAUCCUCAUCUGGUCAAGGUUAGCUGCAGAAAGCAUGUGGGGUCCCUGUAACGGUGCUCCCCUAGCCAAUCACCCCAAAUCUAUAAACGAAAAGGUAACUAACUACAUAUGUAAAUCACCAAUAUGACUAAUAAAUUUUAUUUACCUUAUUCUAGGUCAGGGAGUUGAUCCACAUGUGGUUCACGUGAAUCUGGGCCUAUACCAAUGGGAGGGAAAGCCCACGAGGAGCAGAAGGGCUGUGAGCCCACUAGAAGGCCCAUCUUCAGGGCCCAAACCUGUAAAACAAGAAUUAGCAUUUGCAAUACCAAUAAAAAAAAAUCAGAAAAGUGAAGUCAGAGCAUAAUUUAUAGGGAUUACGUGCCAGAAGUAGCAAAUCCUCUUAUUGUCUGAAACAGUAAUAUCCAUUUUAAGAUACAAGUACGUAAGAGUCGUAGACCCCCAAUUAUAGGAGGAGACCUGGUCUAAAUCUCGUAGCAGAACCAAAUAGUGGAAAUUUAGUGAAUUUCUUGAGUCAUUAAACAAAGUCGUGCCAAAGAGAUACACCAAAAAGGCUCGGGCCAUCUAGUCCACCUCCUUAGCAUUUCGAGACACAAAGCUCCAAUAGUGGAGAGGUAUGCUUUGGUAAGCGAUGCAGCAUGAGUUCUUGCACGCUAGCAAGAACCCAAUUAAAUCAGUAAAGAAGCACUCUCGGACAUCAAAGAGCUGGUCAUGGAUUGCUUCAUCAAAUGGUAUGGGCAUGCCGGUGAAAUCAAUGCCUGUGAUAGCAAUAAAUGAGAGAGGGGAGAGAGUUAGCUCAAUGAUCGGGGUAUAGAAAGUAUGGGUGGUGUCCAUCUACCUCUCGAGCAAAGCAUAGAUAGAGGUGUGGUCCAUCCUCCUUGUAAUCGAUGGAAGCGUGGGAAUAAAGUGGCGGAAGCCAGUAUUGCCAAUCCUAGCUUGAACUGGGCUCGGGAGUUUGUCGAACCACUCACGAGUGCCGUAGAAGUGUCUGGCGAACCGAAUUGACACAAUGUCACUUUUAAGCACAAGCAUAGGUGUGUGAAAAAAUUGCAAACGACGUAAGGGCCUUUACUAAGCAAGUAUGAUAUCAAUUUUUUGUUAUUUUAUGCUAAAACCCCCUAAAAACUGAUUUUCGGUCCGUGCAUGGUUGAUUCAAACUAUGCAGAGCUGAUUAGCUCUAUGGGUUAGGGCAUAGUUUUUUCACACAUUUUUUUGCAAAAUUAUACUUAUUUGAACAAAUAACGUGUGUAUCUAGUAUAUAAGUGAUAAAAAAAGUUUAAAGCUGAAAAAAUACCUUUCUGACGGUAAAAAAUGACAGAUGAGUGUUCAAUUUUUCCAAAAGUGGGAACUCCUCUCCUUUCACAAGCCCCAAGUUAUUCUAGCGAGAAAUCAGUGAUGAGAACUCCUAGUUCGGUGCAAUCAGAGUGCAUCCUGAGAACAGCGAUGACGAGGCCACCAUCUUAAGACUGGUUUCACAAGAUUUGGUUAAGAAAUCGAAGAAAAAGCAAAAAGGGAUUUAAAAGAAAACAAGAGCACAAAUGAGAUAAAGUGAUUUGUGAAAUGGAUGUAAAGGCUUAUAUAGGAUAAGGAAGGAAAAAGUGCCGUUUAGGUUCCCGACCUAUCAAAAUCACAUUUUAGUCCAGAUAUCAAUCUAAGUCUCUAGAAGACAUAUGGAAGGUUAGUUUGCAUCCGAGGUAGGAAUCUUUGAAAUAUUAAAAAAUUGGUCCUUCACCCAUCAAAAUUAUGUUUUAGUCCCUAGGCAAAAUAGUUAUCAAUGUAUCUUCCAAAAAGACAUCAACCGAAUCACAUCGCACCCCGAGGCAAGAAAUUAUAACCAAAAGUACCCGGAAGUGAAAAACUACCAAAUUGACCCAAAGUGGUAAAUUGUUUCCUUAAAUGGAAAACAAUUAGAGGAAAGUAUUUGCAAAUAUCAAAUGAGUGGAUAUUGUCCCUAUAUCAACAUACGUGGUUCCGAAGUCACCGGGCGUGGUCCCCUUAUUAAUGGACAUGGUUCCUAAAUCACUGGAUGUUGUUCCCAAAUAGUAGGCAAAGUCCUCAGCCUAAGCAGGUGAAAGUCUAUAAUCUAAAUAGGUAAAGUCCUCAAAAAUUCAAGCGAGCGUGGUCCCUAAAUCAAAUGAAUAAUCAAAGUUCAGGCUUAUAAGGCGUAGCUUUUACAGCUCACCAAGAUAUCGUUUUACCAUAUCCUUGACAUUUAUGAUUUGUCUUAAUUUAUUUAAAUACAUUUCAUGCUUAUAAAUUUUGACAAACCGGGGACAACUGUCAGCAUCCAUUUUCUAAAUAUAGGUAUUGAGGGAAUUACAGAAAAUCCUAUGAUGAAAAUUACUGCCUUCUCGGGUCUCAAGAGAGGGAGGACGUGCGAAUUCGAGGUUAGGGUUGAGGUUAAUCCAACCAAAAUCACCUUUUUAAAAAUAAUUUGAAUUUAAUUGUUAAGAAAAAUGAAGUUUGAGGGUUAAAACGAUGAAUUUCAUAAGUUCGGGGACUAAAUUGCAAGCUUUUCAUGAACUUUUGCCCUUUUAAAGCCAAUCGACUCUACACAAUGUCGAUUCAUGGUUUUCUUGAUUUGACGUCAUUUUUUGGCACUUUUACCUCCAAAAUGAUUUUCUAAAGGGUUUGUAUUGAUAAAUAUGAGAUUUUGUUUGAUUUUAUCACAGAUAAUCUAUAAAAGAAAAAUAUCAAUAUAUUCCUAGGGCUUCCUAAACCAUAGCUCUAUAUAUACAUAUUUAACUUUUAGGUUUAAGGUUACCAACAAUCACCAACACUGAGCGAUAUUUUUUUGAGGAAAAAUACAAAGAGUUGUGACACUAAGAAAGAACUAGCAAAAUUAAAAUAGUUUUUGAAGAGAAUGAAAUAAGAUUAGGUUAUUUUUUUGGUUGAUUUAUAUGUUUCAUAUGAUUAGAACAAGUUUUUUAGAUGAUUGCAUGUUAUGAUAUUGCUAGAAUUUGAAUAUGAUAAUAAGAACUUCUUAGGAAUUGAAUAUGAUAAUAGGAACAUAUAAGGUUUUAAUUAUUUUAUUUUCUUUAUUUAUUAGUAACAUGUUUAGGAUUUAGAUUAGAUCUGUAAUUCUUUAAUAAUUUAAUAGUUAAAUGUUUUAGAAACCGCAUAAUUUAAAUAUGAUAUUUAGCCGUUUCUUGUUUACAGCUAGUCUAUGUUUUUUAGGAUUUGCAUGUUUUGUUUAGGGUUUCGAAUUGAUUUUAUGUUUUUUUUUUAUAUUUUCUAUUUGAUUUUACACAUUUUAAUUGAUUUCAAAUUUUUUUUGCAUGUGUGAUUAGCUCUAGCGCAUCGAAUCAAGGGAAGAACUGUCGAAAAUCGCUUGACAAAGCCCUAGAGCCGAUCCAACUCUGUGUUGACCCGAUUGACUAUUCACCCAUAGUUGAUUGGCUUUACACCAUGAAAACCUAGAUUUUAGCCAUUUGUGGAUUUUUGAUGUAUUAAUUUAUUUACGUUUUGUAGUUUUAGGUGGUUGUUUUUUUCCUUUUUAGUUGUAGG